UACAGAGGUGGCAAGCGUUGUUCGGAAUUACUGGGCGUAAAGGGCGCGUAGGCGGCCUACUAAGUCAGACGUGAAAUCCCCCGGCUUAACCUGGGAACUGCGUCUGAUACUGGAAGGCUUGAGUUCGGGAGAGGGAUGCGGAAUUCCAGGUGUAGCGGUGAAAUGCGUAGAUAUCUGGAGGAACACCGGUGGCGAAGGCGGCAUCCUGGACCGAGACUGACACUGAGGAGCGAAAGCCAGGGGAGCAAACGGG
rnacentral:rRNA from 1 species